rnacentral:rRNA from 1 species
UACAGAGGGGGCAAGCGUUGUUCGGAAUUACUGGGCGUAAAGGGCGCGUAGGCGGCCUGCUAAGUCGAACGUGAAAUCCCUGGGCUCAACCCAGGAACUGCGUCCGAUACUGGUUGGCUUGAAUCCGGGAGAGGGACGUGGAAUUCCAGGUGUAGCGGUGAAAUGCGUAGAUAUCUGGAGGAACACCGGUGGCGAAGGCGACGUCCUGGACCGGCAUUGACGCUGAGGCGCGAAAGCGUGGGGAGCGAACAGG